rnacentral:rRNA from 1 species
GUCCACGCUGUAAACGAUGAUCACUAGAUGUCGGGGCACUUACCGCCUCGGUGUCGUAGCUAACGCGUUAAGUGAUCCGCCUGGGAAUUACGGCCGCAAGGUUAAAACUUAAAGAAAUUGACGGGGGCCCGCACAAGCAGUGGAGUAUGUGGUUUAAUUCGAGGCAACGCGAAGAACCUCACCUGGGCUUGACAUAUGAGGCUAUCCGGUGAAAGCCGGAGUUCCCGCAAGGGACCUCAAUACAGGUGCUGCAUGGCUGUCGU